CAUCUGCUCAAUGAAUAUUUAAAUAGCCGCGGAAUUUUUACCGUGCUAAGGUAGCAUAAUCAUUAGUCCUUUAAUUAAGGACUUGUAUGAAAGAUGUAACAUUUCAAUACCUUUUUUAAUACUUAUUAUUUAAAUUAAAUUAAAAAUUAAAAUAUUUUUAUAAUUAUAAUAGACGACAAGACCCUACUGAACUUAACUUUUGUUUCGCUGGGGCAGCGAAAAAAAAACCAUUUUUUUAUGUAAAAAUUCAAUUAAUGACCCAAUAUAAUUGAUUAUUUGUUCAAGUUACCAUAGGGAUAACAGCGUAAUUUUCUUUUGAAGUUCUUAUUUAAAAGAAAGAUUGCGACCUCGAUGUUGAAUUAAUGAAACUUUUUAUUAAUGCAACCAUUAAAA
rnacentral:rRNA from 1 species